GGCGGGGCGGGGCGGGGCGGGGCGCGAGAGGACAGAGGAGGCGGGGCCGCGCCCCUCCGUAGCCCGCGGGCGGAAGCGAGAGAGAAUGAGGAGGCAAGAGGGGAGCCGCGGCCGCGGGGAGGCUCGGGACGAGUGGGUUUGUUCCGGUUCUCCUUCCGCUGCAGACGUCCGGGGCCCAGGCCCGAAGCCGAGGGGGAAAGGCUGUAACUAGGUCAUGCCUGUCCAGCCACGAGCCACAAUGGCCAGCCUCCUUUGCAGCUAAGUGUUUGCUUCAUGUGGCUCAGCUCUGGUUCGUGGAGUGCAGCAGAAGGGCACUUCUGAACCGCCUUUCCAGAGGACAGUGUGACGCUCCUUUCCCCAUCCUUGUGGCCAGGAUGCUGACAAGCAGAGUAACCUUGGCAGCCACAUGUUGCAGAUGGCACAGACUGUGUCUGGGCCGGAUCCCUGAAUGACUUCAUGGAGCAGAGCCUCUACUCCUCCAGGCCAGAACACCCCCUGAGCCAUUUCGUUAGAGAGAAAUAAGCUUUUAGUGACUGUCUUUUAAGGUCUAUAUAUUAAAACAAGUGAGCCUACCCUAACUAAUUAGUUAGUUCUUCAAAAUUUAGAUACUUAAUUUUUUACCCAGGGUCUAGUCUUGGUGUUAUUUACUUCUAUAUUUGUUUGGUAAUUUAUCAACUUUUUGUUCUGCAAAAUUUCAGACAUACAAAAGUAGAGGAAAUGAUAUAAUGAAGUCUUAUGUACCUAUGACUAAACCUCAACAUUUGUGUUAUAAGGCCUUUCCUAUUUCCUACGUGUAUGCCAUUUCCUACAUAUUUAUGGCCAUACCUCUGUCAUCGGUACCCUCUUUCCUCUCUGCCCCGUUCUGGAUUAUUUUAAAGCAAAUUUCAGAAUCUCAAACAUCAUUCAUUUCAUUGGAGACUUUUAAAUGCCACAAGAAACCUCCUCCAACCUCCCUGGAACUCAAGUGUUAUUGUGAAACUGUGGCUAUGAAAACGGGCCGUUCCCAUUGUGUUACAACGUAUGAUGAAGACAAUGCAAGCUGAAAGGUUAGGCUCACCUGCCGGUGCGAGAGGCACACCCUAUCCCCAGAACAUACCAGAAUCUACCUUCACCCCAUUCAAGGUGGAAGCUUGGAGCUUAUAAAGGAGACCUGGCAGUACCAGGCAGUCUGAGAAUAUGGGGCGACCAGCAGUGGGUCAAGAAUUGAAGCCAGAUAACUUGGGUUCUAAAUAUCUAAACUUCGCUCAGCUACUUACUAGUUGUAUGCUCUGCAACCAUUCACUUAAUUAUUCAGAUCCUCAGGUUUUCUCAUUUAUAAGAUGGAAAUAAUACCUAUUCCAUCACUGGAUCUGUAUGUUAAAAUUAGCUAAGAUUUUUAAAAUUAUGAACUUUAUAUGAUGAUCAGUUUAUAACUUGGAAGUAAAUAUAAGCUAAGAUUUUAAUUCUUAUUUAAUGUUUUCCUCUAGAGUAGCAUUUAUAGUCUACAGGAAUCUAUUAAAAUCAGUGUUAUUGGUGGCAGUGAUUAUUUUUUCUAAUGAGUUUUUGGAUCUAAAUCAGCAGCACCAUCCAUGAAAGGGAAAAUGAUGCUGCAGUUUGCUUAUUUCAAACAUCUUUAAUCUGAGAAAAGUGGACAGUACCAUAGUGAGCUCCUGCAGGGCCAAAGAGCGAAUAGACUCUUAACUCAAGUUUUCCCUCAGGAGGUUAGCUUCUCCCCCCCUUCACCAGCAUCCAGUUUGACCCAGCCAGUUCUGCAUAAGCUGGGAUAUGGAGAUUUCCAGAUCUUAAUGACUUCCCUCAUACAUCAAAAUGUCUCUUUCUGCAUUACUGAGCUCAGUUCCAACUGGGUCACAGCGUUGAGCAAGGUAGACUUAAAAAGGACGUACAAUAAUUCAUGUGAAAUGUAAGCAAGACAUUUUCCUCCUCCCCUGCUGGAUCUGCAUGCAAUGUUUCCCCUUCUGGUUUCUGUUUUUUAGGUACAUUAUAAGUACCUGGUAAGUUAGAACCUUUUAACUUUUUAACUUUCAAUUUUAGAAUAGUUUUAGGUUUACAAGAAAGUUGCAAAGAUAGUGCAGAGUUCCCGUCUGCCCCUCACCUGGUUUCCCCUACUGUUAGCAUCUUACAUUGCCAGGCUACAUUUGUCACGCCUAAGAAACUAACACUGGUAUGUUGCUAUUAACUAAACUCCAGACAUUAUUCCGAUUUCACUAGUUUUUCCACUAAUGUCCUUUGUCUGCUCCAGGGUCCCAUCCAGGACACCACAUUACAUUUAGUUAUUGUGUCUCCUUAGCCUCCUCUGAUUUGUGACAACUUUUUAGCCUUUCCUCAUUUUUAAGGACCUUGACAGCUUUAAGGAGUACUGGUCAGGUAUUUUAUACGAUGCUUCUCAAUUUGAUUUUUUUCUCUAGUUAGAUUGGGGUUAUGGGAUGGAGAGGCUGACCACAGAGUUGAGGUCACCUUCUCAUCACACCGUGUGUCAGGGAGGUGUGCUGUCAAUAUGACAUCACUGGUUCUGUUGACCUUGAUCACCUAGCCUAGGGAGGGUUUCCAGGUUUCUUCACUGUGAAGUAACUUACCCCUUUCCCAUGCUCUAUUCUUUAGAAGCGAUGACUGAGCUCAGCCCAUAAUCAAGGAGGCAAGAGGGAUAAAGCUCCCAAAACAAACCUGGAAGAAUUUGAGAGCAAAAAUAAUGCAAUAUGAAAUUAUAACCCAAAGUAUAAAAUAAAUGUCCAGGACUCCAUACUCAUAUAAAUAAAUGACUAAAAAAAUGAACAAAGGAGAAGAGACAAAUCUUCCUUCUAUUAGAAUUCCAAAUUAAAGCAUUUUGUUACACAGCCUAUUCUGUUUUUACUUUAAAAGUACUAAUAGACUUUAUUGUUAAGAGCAGUUUUAGGUUUGCAGAAAAAUGGAACAGAAAAUACAGAAAGAUCCUACAUAUGACUCCCACCCCCGUUUCCCUUAUUGUUAACAUAUUGCAUCAGUGAUUAACUUUUGAACUUUCAGCUGUCUUAGAAAUGAAAAAUGGAACAGUGCUGUGUGGUAAGAGUCUUUGGACUCUCAGUGAAUAACAGUACUUUCCUAUGAAUGGAAAUAGGCAUCUUGGAAUAUGAAGACAGAUACCACGAGACUCCAAACUCUGUUAUACCAACAGGGGCUAGAUCAUUUAAAAUUUUCUUUUCUGGGAGCUAGCCCCGUGGCCGAGUGGUUAAGUUCGCGUGCUCUGCUUCAAUGGCCCAGGGUUUCUCUGGUUCGGAUCCUGGGUGCGGACAUGGCACUGCUCGUCAGGCCACAGUGAGGCAGCAUCCCACAUGCCACAACCAGAAGAACCCACAACUAAAAUAUACAACUAUGUACUGGGCUUGGGGAGAAAAAGCAGGGGAAAAAAAAGAAGAUUGGUAACAGCUGUUUGCUCAGGUACCAAUCUUUAGGAAAAAAAAAUUUUUUUAAUUUUCUGAUUUUAAAACUCUUAACUCAUCUUCAAAGCAAAAAAAGAGUAGAUGUCAUUACAAAUAUCAUAGCAAGGUUGCAAGCUCUGUGAUUUUAUACUUGUGAGAACUAGUUUCAAAGUGGGUUCUCAAUUCAGUUCUUUGAAUUAAAUUGAAAAGGAAAAGUGCAUCUGAGAGGAGCGGUCAGCAUCUGAAGAGAUGAUGAAGUUCGCAUGGUGGCUGCCAUGUGAAGAUGCUGCAGGACACUGAGAUACCCACAGGAAAAAGAGAUUUCUGUCUCUGCUGGUGAGGUUGUGAGGAAACGGGCACCCUCCACAUUUUUGGGGAACAUUGAUAAACCCCUCUUAGAGGCAUUUUGACAGUAUCUGUCAAAUUUCCAUAUGCAUUUACCCUUGAAUCCAGGGAAAUCCCAUUCAGUUUGGACUCAAUCUGGAAGUUAUUUCUUCCCAAAAGGAACUGAACUGGAUGUAAACCUCACUGAAAGCCUCAGUAUGGGCAGAGCACAGAGAUCCUGCUCAGAGAUUGACAUGGAGCUGUGAAUGUGGAAAAGGUGCCGACCAUAAGCAGGAAGGUGCUGGUGGCGGGCUCAGCACAAAGUAUUCAAGGGACGCUAACCCCCAUAGCCGUUUCUGGGGAGAUGUCUUUGUAAAAUCUGAACUUCAAGCAAUUGCAGGUACAGAUUUUGACUCUUAAAUGACUUGUGAGGAAGCAGUGGUUUCUGGGCACACUGGUGUGUGGCAGGAACAGAGUGUUCCGUGCAGAGGAUCAGUAAAGCCCAGGUGAUCUGAGAAGUGAAAUCCAGUUGAGAACAGAAACAUUCCCUAAGAAUUCCCACCGCUUCUUGAAUAAAGCGACAUUGGAAUAUGACUCCAAACUGCCUCUAGGCAGUGUUUGUAGUAGUAUUAGAUGCAGGUGUAUUAGUGAACGGCAUGCAUUUUCUUUCAUACUCUGAUUCAGAUUCAGUUUGCAUUGUUUUCAUAAAGCCGCAUGCUGAAGAGCCCCCCAGUGUUGUUAUGAAUAAUGACCAGGGCUGGGGGGCCCGAAACACGGCUGCCUGAAUGAGGUGACUGGCUGGCCCAUGGCCCUGGCAGCGUGCUGCUCAAGUGUCUUGUCUGAUGUGCUACCCUGUUACACUGGCCCUGGGCAAGAAGGAGUGUUCAUCAUCGUGUCUCUGGCCUCACAAGAAAGGAGCGCUUUAUGUUUAGUCUGUUCUGUUCCAGAAGGCAAGGAAGUUUGUAACAUAUUAUAGGAAUAAUUUAAUAUAAUGAAUACUUUUUAAGUUUUUAUGCUGUAAAGUGAUGGUUCUCUAACGUUACCAGGCAUCAGAACCACCUGGAGUGCUAUUAGAACACGGAUUGCUGGGCUCCACCCUCAGAGAUUCUGAUUCAGUAGGUCUGGAGGGGGCCCAAGAAUUUGCACGGUAAGCUUCCGUUAUCUGGAACAUCCACGUGUUAUAUUUCUUACUCUUCACGCUGUUGAACUUAAGGUGUUAUUGCCAAGUGACCUGGAAAAUAGAGUGCUCAUUGGAACCGGCCCUCCCUCCUUACAACUGCUUCCCCAAAGGCUUCUGGGCCACUUUUCUGUACUUCCUCCAUUCUCUACCAAUACUCACCUCCAAAUUGGAAUCUGAAAUGGGGAUUUCACUCUUUUCUGUUAUUAUCUUCUCUCUUUCCUCCAGUUCCUGGUGCUAGUAUAUGUAAAGGAAUAGUGACUAAUACAUGGCAGUAUAUAAAUAAGCAGUUGUGUUUAGGAGUUCAAAAAAAGGGGUAAUUAAGAAAGACCCAUGGUGAACGUGAAGUAUAAGCUCAACCUUGAUGGAUGGUGUUUGACUAGGCAGACAGGAGGCAGCGGACAUUUCAGACCAAGGCAGCAUCUUGGGCAAAGGCCCAGAAGCAGGACAAGCAGAGAGUAAGGCCUGAGAGGGGGGUGUGCUGGAGAGAACUAAGAAGGAAGAUCGAAUGGGUAGGCUGGGGCUGGAGAGCCAGCAGAGUUCACAGUUGCUUUAGUGAGACGGGAAGCAUGGAAGGUUGUGUAGUGGCUAAAGGCCUGUGUCAAGCAGAUUAGUUAGGCAGUGAGUGUGCAGGACGGCUUGAGAGUGGAGGCCACCCGGCAAGCUGUUCUGGAAAUGCAGACCUGUGCAAGCCAGCGCUGGGCUGCUGCUUAUCACCUGAAAUGUCUCAUUCGCAGCCUAAGGCAUUGUAGAUGUCACCUCAGUGUGUCUGGGCAAGUGGGGCCACGGCAUGUUCUGCUCACCUUCUUGUAUUUUAACUUUCUAAAAAUCAUUUCCACUUACUUUCAAUAUUUUCUGUGCAGUUGUUCAGACUUAUUUUAGACAAAGCCUUAUCUUCUCAAGCUUAAAACUCUACUCUUUCUUUCACAAUAUUGGUUAUUACUUCCCAACUAACCUUUAAUUUCCUUGUACCUCCUCCCUUUCUCAUCCUCAAAGCCUUUUCUUUCCUGCCUCAGUAACCUUUUCUCCUUAUUUGUCAAUCUAAAGCUAAAUUAUCUUUACAUUCUUUUUCCACCUGGCUUAAUUUGGAGGUAAGCACUUUCUUUUGCCUAAUGCUCAAACUCACUAAAAUAUAUGGUGACAUGAUUUUUUUCAUCCAAUGUUGCUUCCACUUAAUUUAUGUCAUAGAUGAUUCAUAGAUCAUCUCAAAACAAAGAUGGGAUAUUUUCCUUAUUUGAAUAAGGGAGUAUGAGCACUGUCCCCUCUGUUAUAUGUGUAACCACAUUUCCCUAGGUUGUACUGGGGACACAGCAGCAUGUGGCUCAGUCUCCACCAGCAAAGAUGGAGAUCCCAGGCCUGAGCUCCUUCGCAGCAGCCUGAAGGUGGCUGCUUCAGAGGGGGUCUUCCUGGCUCCCAACACCCUCAUUUACCCUCUUCAUGUCAGCCCUGUGGUUUCCGCUACCCUGACAUCCCCCUCAUUCCCAACACAGGCAUGUACAUGGUUGCUCCUUAAUUCCAUUCUUUUUUGUUUGUUUGCUAAAGAGGAUUCUCCCUGAGCCAACAUCUGUUCCAAUCUUCUUCUAUUUUGUAUGUGGAUCGCCACCACAGCUGAUGAGUGGUGUAGGUCCGUGCCAGGAACAGAACCCAGGCUGCCGAAGUGGAACACGCCAAACUUAACCGCUAGGCCAUGGGGCUGGCCCCCUUAAUUCCAUUCUUAAUAGCUGUCAAGCCACCUCUCUCCUGGCUUACCUUCUUCCUGGGCCCCAAAGCAGAUGUACUUUAUGCUCUGUGGUUACAGGAGCUGUAAUAAACUGCCCCUUUCCAGCAACACAGCAUGGGCCCGGAAGCUGGGCUGAGCUGCAAGCACAGGAAUACCUCACUGGGCUGCCUCAUAGCCAUCCUCCCUUUGCUCUCCUCCAAUAAACUCAGAUCAAGCAAGUGCACCUCAACUCUCCUCUCAGAGAACAAACAGAAUCAUGAAUUACAUUGCAAGAUUUAUAUAGCUGAUUCAUAAACUUCAGGAAGUUUUAUCAUGGUUCCAAAACUACAAAAUUUUGUCUUUGGAUAAUUUGGAAAUGAUGCUGAGGUACAUUUCUCCACCCCUCCUGCUUCUUACCUCACUCCGUAGAUGCUACGCACGUGGCCUCAAUGUGUCAAGGAGUGGGGUUCCUGAGGUUCUCAUUCAAAUCAGGUACAGCUCUGUCAGCACCCCAGAGACCUUCAAAAUGUCUAAAUUUCCAAUGUACAUAAAUUAGGUCCUAUUCAUUCAUUCAAAAUGUAUUUUUUGAGCAUCUACUCUGUGCCAGGCAUGAUUCUUAGCCCUUGGGUGAUAGCAGUGGAGACAUACAAAAUCUCUGCUCUCAGAGAAUGUAUGUAUAAACAAACAAUUUCAGAUAGUGAUAACUGCCAUGAAGAAAAUAAUACAGGUAAUGUGAUAGACAGUGGUGGGGACGGUGAGGGAGACUUCUGAAGGGGCGACAUUGAUCUGAGAGCUUUGUAGUAAGAGAGGCAGCCAUGAGAAGCCCUUGGCAAAGAAUACUCCAAGCGGAUGGAGGAUUGAGUGUAAAGACCUGAGUUGGAAGUGGGAGGGCCAGUGAGCCUGGAAUGUAAUGUAAGUGGAGGAUGGGAAGUGAAGGGAGUCAUGUAGGGUGAGACGGGAGAGGCAGGUAGGAGUCACGUCCUAUAGGCCUUGUUGGCCUGGGGAAGAAGAUUGGAUUUUCUCUGGGUACUAUAGGAAGCCAUUGCAGAGUUUUAACUAGUGGAAGAUCGUGGUCUGAUGUAAGGUUUUUUUUUUCUUAUUAGUGUUUUUUAAUAUUCAUGUAACAUAAAUGUUACUGUUUUAAGUGUACAACUCAUUGGUUUUAGCAUGUUGUAAUGAGUGUGACCAUUAGCACUAAUUCCAGAACCUUUCCAUCAUCCCCAAAAGAAAUCCUGUACUUGUUAGCAGUUAUUCCCUUUGACUCUUUCCCUGGCCCUUGGCAAACAAUAAUCUGCUUCGGUCUCAAGAGAUUUGCCUAUUCUGGACAUUUCAUGUAAGUGGAAUCCUACAGCUUAUGUGUCUGGCUUCUUUCAGGUAGCGUAAAGUUUUAAGGCCAUCCAUGUUGUAGCAUGUAGCAGGACUUCAUUCCUUUUUACAGCAGAAUAAGUUUCCAUUGUAUGUGUAUACCACAUUUUGUUUAUCCAUUCAUCUGUUAAUGGACAUUUGGGCUGUUUCACUUUUUGGCUAUUAUGAAUAAAGCUGCUAUGAACAUUUGUGUACAAACUUUUGUAUGAAUAUGUGCUUUUAUUUCUCUUGGGUAUAUACCUAGGAGUAGAAUUGCUAGGUCAUAUGUUAACUCUAUGUUUAGCUUUUUGAAGGCCUGCCACAUCCUUGUCCAAAGUGGCUGCAUCACUUCACAUUCCCACCAGCAGUGUAUGAGAGUUCUGGUUCCUCCACAUCCUCACCAACACUUAGUAUCUGGUUUUGUGAUGGCAGUUAUCCUAGUGGAUGUGAAGAGAUAUCUCAUUGAGGUUUUGAUUUGCAUUUCCCUAAUGACUAAUGAUGUUGAAAGUCAUUUCAUGUGCUUAUUGGCUAUUUGUAUAUCUUCCUUGGGGAAAUGUCUAUCCAUGUCCUUUGCCCAUUUUAAAAUUGGGUUAUUUGUCUUUUUAUUGUUGAGUUGUAAGAGUUCUUUAUAUAGUCAGGAUACUUGGCUCUUAUCAGGUAUGAUUUGGAAAAACUUUCUCCCAUUCUAUGAGUUGUCUUUUCACUUUCUUGAUAUGUCCUUUGACCCUAGAUAAGUGUUAAAAAAAAUCAUUCUGGCAGCCAUGUGGAAGAUGGAGUCGUGAGGGGCAAGAAUGGUUGCAGGGAGAUUAGUUAGGAAGUAUUGCAGUGACUGAGGCUAGAGAUGAUGAUGGCUUGGAUGGUAGACAAGGUUCUGGCUUUAAAUUAUUGCCAGCUCUAGGUAGGCAGUGUUAGAUCAGCUGUUUCAAAUUUUAUUCCACUUUAAAUGUUUUGAAACCAAGAGAGAAAAUUGUGACACAAUUAACAUUUAUGUGGCUUGUCCAUAGACUCGAGAGUCAGCUCUACCAUGUGGUCUCAAGUGGCUCUGGAUUUGUUACACAAGUUCUGACUAAGGCUUUGGAUUUUCGAGACCCA
ensembl:lncRNA